AUGAGGCUGAGGUCAAAGGUCAUGAGGAAGUCAUUUCUUACCAGUCAGUUUGUAUCACUGUGGUGGACUUUUGGUGGAGGAACCAGACUGGAUGUUGGAAGUGAUGUCCGUCCCACCCUGACGGUGCUGCCUCCCUCCGGCGAGGAGCUGGAGCACGGGAAGGCCACGCUCAUGUGUCUGGCCAACAAGGGCUUCCCCUCAGACUGGAGUCUGGCCUGGAAGGUGGACGGCAGCAGCAGCAGCAGCAGCUGGGAGGAGAGCAGGAGCUCUGCAGUGCUGCAGAAGGACGGCCGCUACAGCUGGAGCAGCACCCUGAGGCUCCCUGCAGACCAGUGGAGGAAGGUGGGCUCUGUUACCUGUGAGGCCACCCAGGGCUCCCAGACUCCAGUCUCAGAGACACUGAGGAGAGACCAGUGUUCCCAGUCCUGACCUGACUCACUGGGACUCUGCUUCUGGUUUUACUCUGCUACUGCUCUCAGUCUGCAUUUUCUUUGUUUCUUUCUCUCAAUGAAUGUUUCAACAUUAAAGUGUUCUUGCUUGCUGUAAUUUCAAUCGCUCCAAAAUUGUAAAACAAUAAAGUUUCAUUUAAAAAAAUUCA